rnacentral:rRNA from 1 species
ACGGAAGGCAGCAGUGGGGAAUAUUGGACAAUGGGGGAAACCCUGAUCCAGCGACGCCGCGUGAGUGAAGAAGUAUUUCGGUAUGUAAAGCUCUAUCAGCAAGGAAGAAAAUGACGGUACUUGACUAAGAAGCCCCGGCUAACUACGUGCCAGCAGCCGCGGUAAUACGUAGGGGGCAAGCGUUAUCCGGAUUUACUGGGUGUAAAGGGAGCGUAGACGGCAAAGCAAGUCUGAAGUGAAAUCCCGGGGCUCAACCCUGGAACUGCUUUGGAAACUGUUUAGCUAGAGUGCAGGAGAGGUAAGUGGAAUUCCUAGUGUAGCGGUGAAAUGCGUAGAUAUUAGGAGGAACACCAGUGGCGAAGGCGGCUUGCUGGACGACAACUGACGCUGAGGCGCGAAAGCGUGGGGAGCAAACAGGAUUAGAUACCCUGGUA